rnacentral:rRNA from 1 species
CAAUAGCGUAUACUAAUGUUGCUGCAGUUAAAAAGCUCGUAGUUGAAUUUGUGGCGACUCCUGGGGUCCAUAUUGCUUGGUACUUUUUGGGGUUGCCAUCCUUGGGUGGAAUUUGUGUGGCAUUAGGUUGUCGUGCAGGGGAAGCCCAUCGUUUACUGUGAAAAAAUUAGAGUGUUCAAGGCAGUCCUUCGACGUUGAAUAUAUUAGCAUGGAAUAAUAAGAUAGGACCUUGGUACUAUUUUGUUGGUUUGCGCACCGAGGUAAUGAUUAACAGGGACAGUUGGGGGCAUUCGUAUUCCAUUGUCAGAGGUGAAAUUCUUGGAUUUUUGGAAGACGAACUACUGCGAAAGCAUUUGCCAGGGAUGUUUNCAUUAG